AGUCCUACGGGAGGCAGCAGUGAGGAAUAUUGGUCAAUGGGCGAGAGCCUGAACCAGCCAAGUCGCGUGAGGGAAGACGGUCCUACGGGUUGUAAACCUCUUUUGUCAGGGAGCAAGAACGGAUACGUGUAUCCGAGCGAGAGUACCUGAAGAAAAAGCAUCGGCUAACUCCGUGCCAGCAGCCGCGGUAAUACGGAGGAUGCGAGCGUGAUCUGGAUUUAUUGGGUUUAAAGGGUGCGUAGGCGGACUGCCAAGUCAGCGGUAAAAUUGCGGGGCCCAACCCCGGCGAGGCGUUGAAAGUGGCG
rnacentral:rRNA from 1 species